rnacentral:piRNA from 1 species
UAGGGAAAGCAGUCAACCAGUCUUUUAGGU